rnacentral:rRNA from 1 species
AACGAACGCUGGCGGCAGGCUUAACACAUGCAAGUCGAGCGCCCCGCAAGGGGAGCGGCAGACGGGUGAGUAACGCGUGGGAAUCUACCCAUCUCUACGGAAUAACGCAUGGAAACGUGUGCUAUUACCGUAUACGUCCUUCGGGAGAAAGAUUUAUCGGAGAUGGAUGAGCCCGCGUUGGAUUAGCUAGUGGGUGGGGUAAAGGCCUACCAAGGAGACGAUCCAUAGCUGGUCUGAGAGGAUGAUCAGCCACACUGGGACUGAGACACGGCCCAGACUCCUACGGGAGGCAGCAGUGGGGAAUGUUGGACAAUGGGCGCAAGCCUGAUCCAGCCAUGCCGCGUGAGUGAUGAAGGCCCUAGGGUUGUAAAGCUCUUUCACCGGUGAAGAUAAUGACGGUAACCGGAGAAGAAGCCCCGGCUAACUUCGUGCCAGCAGCCGCCGCUGUAA